UGUGGGUUAGAUAAAGAGUAUAGAAUCUUUUUUGUAGACUUACAUCGUUGGAAACGCCUCAUAGAAUAAAUAUGUUGUUUCCUUUAUUCACAGAACUGUGUGUUAGAUCUGUGGGAAGGAAUUACAAGACAGCU
rnacentral:snoRNA from 1 species